AUGAAGGGCCUCUUACUGUGUGCGCUCGCACUUGCGUUUGCUGUGGUGACCACCGACGCCCAGCGCUGCGGCAAGCAGGGCGAUGGCAUGGAGUGCCCCAACAACCUCUGCUGCAACAAGGAUGGGUACUGCGGCCUGGGCGUCACCUACUGCAAUGCUGGCGCCGGCUGCCAGAGCGGCGCCUGUUAUGACAACAAGAUCUGUGGCGCGCAGGCCGGUGGCGCAUUGUGCCCUAGCAACCACUGUUGUAGCUCAGGUGGUCGUUGCGGCUACGGCAGGGAAUAUUGCAGCAACGACUGCCAGAGCGGUCCUUGCUGGGAUCUCAAGUGUGGCCACCUGGCCAAUGGCAGGCCCUGCCCCAACAACCUCUGCUGCAGCCCAAAUGGUACAUGUGGCCUAGGACCGGAGUACUGCGGUGCUGGCUGCCAAAACGGCGCCUGCAGCACUGACAAGCCGUGUGGCAACAAAGCUAAUGGUGCACCAUGCAACAACAACUAUUGUUGCAGCCAGUAUGGAUCUUGUGGACUCGGCCAGGAUUACUGUGGUGCCGGCUGCCAGAAUGGCUCAUGCAACUAG
rnacentral:rRNA from 1 species